rnacentral:rRNA from 1 species
AGAAUCAACGCUGGCGGCGUGCCUAACACAUGCAAGUCGCACGAGAAAGGGACUUCGGUCCUGAGUACAGUGGCGCACGGGUGAGUAACACGUGAAUUAUCUACCUCCGAGUGGGGAAUAACUGAGAGAAAUCUUAGCUAAUACCGCAUAACACUUACGAGUCAAAGCAGCAAUGCGCUUGGAGAGGAGUUCGCGGCAGAUUAGUUAGUUGGCGGGGUAAUGGCCCACCAAGACGAUGAUCUGUAUCCGGCCUGAGAGGGCGCACGGACACACUGGAACUGAAACACGGUCCAGACUCCUACGGGAGGCAGCAGUGGGGAAUUUUGCGCAAUGGGGGAAACCCUGACGCAGCAACGCCGCGUGGAGGAUGAAAUAUCUUGGUAUGUAAACUCCUUUCGAUGGGAAGAUAAUGACGGUACCCAUAGAAGAAGCCCGGCUAACUUCGCGCCAGCAGCCGC